rnacentral:piRNA from 1 species
UCCUGAUAUUUGUGAUGCCUCCCUGGGCUU